UUGACCACACUGAAGACUGAAAUGCUCUAUUUAUCCACAGAACAGAUACAGCCCGGAAAACGCCAAUGUAAUGUGCCAAUGUGCCUAAACCCUGAGCUGGAGGGACAGCCAUUGAGGAUGAGAGGUUAGUUCCCAUGCUGACUCUCACUGUAGGAGCU
rnacentral:sRNA from 1 species